GGUGGUACUCUGAAACAAGCAGACCUAGAUCAAUAUAGUGGCUUCUUUGCUGAGGAACAGCUUAAGAGUAUUGCCAGCCCCAGUCCUCUGAGAAAAGAAGAUGGGCUGGUUUGUUUGUGAUCCCUAGGGCUAGCUCUUAAUGUUUAGCCAAAGAGGGGAGUGGGAGCCAAGAAUUUCUGCAGAACCUGAAGGACUGCUUCUUCUCCUUUGUGUGAGGGAGGGCUCCUAGCCCCUUGGAACUAUUUUACUUUUGGUUUAGACUGUUUUAUUACAUCUUAUACCCCCUCCUGCCCUGAAGAGGGGAGACUUGUUAAGAGGUACAGCUUGAUACACCAUACCCCAAGACUGCCUUGCCCAGGAAAUGAUGUACAAGGUGGGAAGACAGCGGAGUGGGGCACACCCAGAGGUCUGUGCCCAGAAGAGGACGCCGUGGUCUCAGGAGUGAUGUGGGUCACAGAGUGGUGGAGACAGCAAAGCGGGAGUAACAGUGAACAAGACAUCAAUGGAGGAGGGCACCAUGUGGCAGGACUUGAGCCAAUUCCAGAAUGGCCAGCAGGAGGCGCCACUGUGGGAAAUGUUUUUAUUCAAGCUUUCAGCGAUACAAAAUGCAUAUGAUAAUCAACAAUGCAUGGGAAGUAAGGAGCAAAGAUCACGUUGAACCUGCAAGCUAAAACCCCCAAACCUUGCCCACAGGGCAGACCUUUCCUCUGGACCAUUCCAGUGAUGUGGAGGCUGAUCACCAAGAAUCUUGCUUUGCAACCAGUAUGCUGCAUCUGACCUUCCUGUGCCCCGCAGAACAAACACCAUGUGUAUGCUUUCAGCAGGAUAGAGCUGAAACAUGGUCACUGAUACUCUUUUUGAAAACUGCAGAAUAAAAUGUGUGCAAUAUGUUAGAUAUCUGAGCACAAGGAGAAAAGCAUGUGCAAAUACACAUCCUGUUUGUCAUUAUCUUUAGAACCCACAACAGGAUUAUUAGUUCACUAUGUAUAAGAUCCUGGCAAAGUGUAUUGUCCCAACAUUUUAAAAAAGGUACUGUAGCUUUUGAGAUGAUAUGUGGGUCUCUGUGGACUUUACAGCAGUUCUAUUGAGCACUAACUAUUUAAAAGGUGUAUAGGGCAUAGGUUCAUUUUCAAGUUAGUAUAAUAUUUCAAACUGUAUUGAUUGCAUCUCCAUUUACAGUGGGCCAAAUACUGAUCUCAUUUAUACCAGUGUGGACCCAAAAUAACACUGACUUUACUCCGUUGACUAGUGUACAUGACCAGUAGUGGAAUCUGGCAUAUCCUCACCACACAGGAAGUUGUCUGGUUUUUGUUUGGAGUCUAUGCGUGGAUGAGGAGGAAAUGGAAUGUUCUGUGCAUAGUUAUGUCUUACAUCUCACUAUACCGAAAUAAGCCACCCAAAAACCUGAACAACCAAGGUGUUUUCAUCCACAUUAAGGCAAUAUUAUGGGGUCUGGUCUCAGGGAGGUGGAUUACCUAUGCCAACAGGAGAACUCCUCCCAUCAGCAUAGAUAGUGUCUACACUGAAGUGUGCAGCAGGGUGGCCGCUCUGGUGUAGCGCUUUAGAGAUACUGAAUCCUAAACAGGGCUUAAAAAAGAGGACGUCAUUGUGAAGGUAUCUGUUACCUUCAUUUUGUUUCUCUUCUGUGUACCCUUAUUGUAUUCUCGUGCCCCUACUGUCACCUGUGGGAGCAGAGACCACCACCAUUUUACUUUUGACCAGUACCCAGGCUCUCACUGAUGUUAGCGGCUACUGACAAUAAGACAAUGGUAAUGUUCUUCUGGAAAGAAAAAAGAACACUCUAUAAUUUUGUUGUUUAUUCUGAUCUACAGGUAAAUGCAAAACGUAAUUUUUUUCUACAAAACUAACUUGAUCUGAAGGGACAGUCUGAAAAAACAAAAGCGUGAGACAACUUUUUUUUGUUGUUGUUUUUUUUUUUUUUUGGCCCAUAAUCUUUGAUAGAAACUUUUUACCACUUUUUCCCGGCACUAUGACCACACUAACUGCAGUCCUUGUGGAUUAAUUACUGGAAUGAUGGAAAGCAUAUGUGCAUAAAUGCAGUGUUAGAGCAAACAGUAAAUGUUUUUUGGAGCUAAGCUUUACUGUUUUGUACCUUUUUCUUGAACAGGUGCCAUCAGAAAGUUUUUGACGUCUUUCUUAUCUCCAUGCAUUAUAUAGGAGAUGUAAAUACCAUUCUCCUUUACAGGAUGGCAGAAUAAAUUAUCCCUCUCUAAAACCAGCACAAGAAACUUAUUUAUGUGUAGACCCUUGUGUGCUCCAGAUUUUUUUAUUGCAUUUCCAAAUGAGACUGGAACAUGAAACAUGGUGAACAUGAAAAUGUCUGGGUUUUAGAGAGAGAUCCUGGUGCAGGAGGUUACUUUCUCUGGAGUGGAACCAUUUGGACAGAAUAAGAAAACAUAUUAUUAAACUGUCUGUGCUAUUAGGUGGUUGUUCUAUGAGAAAAACAUAACUCUGGUACAUAAGGAAGCGAUACAAGAAAAAAACUUAUAUCAGAAAAGCCAUUCUUAUAAUUCAAAAUGAAAAUUGAAAAUGACCAGAAAAUAAGCUCUCAUGAGUUCUGUGAGUUAUUUGUUUGGUAUAACUGGUAAGUGGUGCACAUUGUACUGUCUAGAUGUGUGUUAGACUGUGCUAAAUGACAUACAGAAAUGCAACUAAAACAGCAAUGCAAAGGCUGUAUUCCUCUCUUACAAGAUAUGAUGCGGGGGAGGAUUAGGAGGGAAGAGUAUAGGGCAGACGUAUGGAAGUGUUCCCUUACAGGACAUAACCCUAGAUUGUAUGCAUAUGCCUGGAGGGUAUAAAAAAUCAAAAUCACAUUGAAUGACAUGCUACAGUCAUAAGAAAUCCUGACAUCAUUCCUCUGGGAUAUCAUUAAAUUGACUCAGGAAAAGAUCAAAAUGGUCUAUAUAGUCAUUUCAAGGGUCUUGCUGAUAUCUAACCAACCUCCCCCCCCCCCCAAAGUCACCACCACCCCAAAUUAGGGGGAAGCUGUCAGAAAAUGACCUUCUGCAUCUUGACAGUUAAUCCAUAUUAAAGUUUUUAUCUUCAUGAAACCUGAACUUUUAGUUACAUUAUUUAUUUUUCUGAUAAAUGAUUACUAUGGUGUACACAGAUUGAGGAGUGUAAACAUCUUCGGCCUCAUGCAACCCCACUGACUUCAAUAGCGUUGGAUAGGUGGAUCAGAGGGAAGAAUUGAACUCAUUGGAAUUAUUCUGGUGUAAAACUGGUGUAAGCAAGAGGAAAAUUAUGCCCACAGCAUAUGUCUUGUUUGGUAUAUUUGAAAGUGUAAUAUGGGCAGAAGAGAAAGGGGAAUACUUUUUUCGGUAUUCAUGCUGACAUUAUAUUGUCUGACCUCUAGUGGCAGCAUCAGAAGGUAAAUUAUUGAAUGAUUCCAUUGGAUCUGAUGUUAGUUUGACUAGUUAUCUUUGACCUGGAAGUAUAUAGAAGUGUCUAAUGUUUAUCAUAUUGAAAAAAGGAAGUUAAUUAACUAAUUAAAAUGGUUUGAUUUUUAAUCUCAUGAGAAUGGUUUUAGUUUAUGGCCUUAUAGAUCUAAAGAUAAGAGCACUAGUGGCCCAGUUCUGUUUUCAUUUUCCCCAGUGAAAACAGAGUAAUCCUUCUCAUUACGAUGAAAUACCCUGAUUCACACUGACAGAACUGAGGACCAAAUUCUGUCUUAUCUGUACUUCUGUUUCUACCUCACU